UGAACGCUGGCGGUAUGCUUAACACAUGCAAGUCGAACGGAAACGAUACUAGCUUGCUAGUAGGCGUCGAGUGGCGGACGGGUGAGUAACGCGUAGGAAUCUGCCUGAUAGUGGGGGAUAGCCCGAAGAAAUUCGGAUUAAUACCGCAUAAUCUAUUCGUAGUAAAGUGGGGGACUUUCGAGCCUCACGCUAUCAGAUGAGCCUGCGUAAGAUUAGCUUGUUGGUAGGGUAAAAGCCUACCAAGGCGACGAUCUUUAGCUGGUCUGAGAGGAUGAUCAGCCACAUCGGGACUGAGACACGGCCCGAACUCCUACGGGAGGCAGCAGUGGGGAAUAUUGGACAAUGGGGGCAACCCUGAUCCAGCAAUACCGCGUGUGUGAAGAAGGCCUGAGGGUUGUAAAGCACUUUCAAUUGUGAAGAAAAGUUAGCGGUUAAUAACCGUUAGCCUUGACGUUAACUUUAGAAGAAGCACCGGCUAACUCCGUGCCAGCAGCCGCGGUAAUACGGAGGGUGCAAGCGUUAAUCGGAAUUACUGGGCGUAAAGCGUGCGUAGGCGGUUUAUUAAGUCAGAUGUGAAAGCCCCGGGCUUAACCUGGGAACUGCAUUUGAAACUGGUCAACUAGAGUAUGGUAGAGGAAAGUGGAAUUUCUGGUGUAGCGGUGAAAUGCGUAGAUAUCAGAAGGAACAUCAAUGGCGAAAGGCAGCUUUCUGGACCAAUACUGACGCUGAGGUACGAAAGCGUGGGUAGCAAACAGGAUUAGAUACCCUGGUAGUCCACGCCGUAAACGAUGAUAACUAGCCGUUGGGGGGAUUUACCCUUUAGUGGCGAAGCUAACGCGUUAAGUUAUCCGCCUGGGGAGUACGGCCGCAAGGUUAAAACUCAAAGGAAUUGACGGGGACCCGCACAAGCGGUGGAGCAUGUGGUUUAAUUCGAUGCAACGCGAAGAACCUUACCUGGUCUUGACAUCCUGCGAACUUUCUAGAAAUAGAUUGGUGCCUUCGGGAACGCAGUGACAGGUGCUGCAUGGCUGUCGUCAGCUCGUGUCGUGAGAUGUUGGGUUAAGUCCCGUAACGAGCGCAACCCCUAUCCUUAUUUGCCAGCACAUCAUGGUGGGAACUAUAAGGAGACUGCCGGUGAUAAACCGGAGGAAGGCGGGGACGACGUCAAGUCAUCAUGGCCCUUACGACCAGGGCUACACACGUGCUACAAUGGGAAGGACAAAGAGCCGCGAAGCCGCGAGGUGUAGCUAAUCUCAUAAACCUUUUCGUAGUCCGGAUUGGAGUCUGCAACUCGACUCCAUGAAGUCGGAAUCGCUAGUAAUCGUAGAUCAGAAUGCUACGGUGAAUACGUUCCCGGGUCUUGUACUCACCGC
rnacentral:rRNA from 1 species